CCCUUAGAUGUUCUGGGCCGCACGCGCGCUACACUGACGAAGUCAGCGAGCAUGUCCUACGCCGACAGGUGCGGGGAAUCUUGUCAAACUUCGUCGUGAUGGGGAUUGAUUAUUGAAAUUCUUGAUCAUGAACGAGGAAUUCCUAGUAAGCGCAAGUCAGCAGCUUGCGUUGAUUACGUCCCUGCCCUUUGUACACACCGCCCGUCGCUACUACCGAUUGAAUGGUUUAGUGAGAUCUUCGGAUUGGCGCCACUGCGGCUCAGCAAUGGGCUCGGUGGAUGCCGAAAAGUUGAUCAAACUUGAUCAUUUAGAGGAAGUAAAAGUCGUAACA
rnacentral:rRNA from 1 species